CAAAGUAUAGCUUAACUAAAGCACCCGGUCUACACCCGGAAGAUCUCAGAUGAACUGAUUACUUUGA
rnacentral:tRNA from 1 species